AUUGAACGCUGGCGGCAUGCUUUACACAUGCAAGUCGAACGGUAACAGGCCGUAAGGUGCUGACGAGUGGCGAACGGGUGAGUAAUGCAUCGGAACGUGCCCAGUCGUGGGGGAUAACGCAGCGAAAGCUGCGCUAAUACCGCAUACGAUCUAUGGAUGAAAGCGGGGGACCGUAAGGCCUCGCGCGAUUGGAGCGGCCGAUGUCAGAUUAGGUAGUUGGGGGGGUAAAGGCUCACCAAGCCAACGAUCUGUAGCUGGUCUGAGAGGACGACCAGCCACACUGGGACUGAGACACGGCCCAGACUCCUACGGGAGGCAGCAGUGGGGAAUUUUGGACAAUGGGCGCAAGCCUGAUCCAGCAAUGCCGCGUGCAGGAAGAAGGCCUUCGGGUUGUAAACUGCUUUUGUACAGAACGAAAAGGCUCUGGUUAAUACCCGGGGCUCAUGACGGUACUGUAAGAAUAAGCACCGGCUAACUACGUGCCAGCCGCCGCAGUAACAC
rnacentral:rRNA from 1 species